UCAUGUUAAUUAAAAAUAAUUAAAGAUAGGAAAUCUUUAAUUUUUAAUACGUUAACCUCUGUAAAUGAUAAAUUCUAAUUACCUUUUUAAUUUUAAUUGUUUAAUUCAAUUAGAUUCACCUAUUUACCCUAAUUAGCUUUCUGAUUCACUCUUAACAAGUUUAAUCAGAAACUUUUCCCUUCUUCUUUCACUCUGGAACUUUUCCAAAUUUUCGCAGCAUAGCUUCUUCUUCUCUCAGAUAGACCCAGUUCUGGGCUGUUCCUUGUAGUCUCGCGCAAACCAGGAGACUUCUUUCUCUUUCUUUCUCUGCGUUUCUUACUAGGAUCUUUGGGGGGUGACAACAACAGCGUGGAGAGGCUGUGACUCCUACGGCGUCUUCAUUUUCUCCAGGUGGCUCGCGGUGACGCGUUUGUCGUUCUUCUUCUCCUCAGUUCAGGUUUGCCUCACGCAGGGAAGGGAGGCAUUUUUGUCAGCAGGCACGUAUUCGUCUCCGCGUCUCCGCGGCACCACGGUCCUCGUUCGCGGGUGUGGCAGCAGUGACGCCUUCGCGGAAUUUCGAACUCCGGCGACUUUGAAGCACAGGGUUUUGUUCUCACUGUUGCGCGUCUUGCGAUUUAGGGUUUCGAUUUGGGGCUUUUGCGGGAACUCUUCUUCUUUCGAUUUAGGGUUUCCAUUCAAAAUUCACGACCUUGGAGGUUUUGCUCGAAUUGGGGUUUGAAAUUGGGUGCUGUUUUUUGAUAUCCUUGUGCUCUUGAUUUUUAAUUCGGGAAUUAUCUUUAGGCGUUCUGUUCUUGUUCUCUUGAAUUUGGUUUUAGUGUUUUGAUAAUCCUGUGUUCUUCACCUUCGUCGGUGGAUUGAUGAUUGAGGUUUUGGGAUGGUGGGUAGUAGAAUUUGUUUUGGUUUUCUGGGAUUCUCUGUUCUUGGCAAUUACAAACCUUUAGUGAAGGUGAUGCAGUGAAACGUGUUGUGAGACCAGGGGCUCGCAGUGACUACCGGGAACCUUGGAUUGUGGUUGUGCUGUGGGUGCUACUCCCUCCACCUCUCCAUUUUCUCCCUCUACCUCCCCAAUACCUCCCCAACUAUUUGCGUUUUCUUUUUAUUACACAAAUAUCCUCCUUCAAAAAGUUUCUCUAUCCUAACAUGUUGCGAUGGUUGAACUAGCACAAAAAUAUAAACGGUGGGAUCAAUAAAUUUGCCAGAAUAAAGAAAAUUGAAAAAAGUUUAAGUUUUCCUAUCUCUCUCUCCCUGCAAUGCAAUGAUCCAAACUAUCAUCUUUGAGAGGUUGGUUCCUAUGGAGACAAAGGUUGUUGCAGUUCCAGACUUUUAAAAAAACUCAACGUGAAUUCGAAUAAUUUUUGCUUUUUUCUCUUUUUGCUAUAAUUAAUUUAGUGUUAUAUUUCAUUUUCGUUCCAUCACAAUUUAACUACAAUUAUUUUUUAACGGUUGAAGUCAGAAAUAUUAGAGGUAAACUUUAUGUGCUGUCGUGAUAGGGGAAGGUGGAGGGAGGAAAAAUAAAAAAAUAAAAAGGUUAAAAAAGUAAAUAACAAAGAUAUUUUUGUAAUAAAAUAUAAAAAAUAGAAAAUUGGGGGGUGGGGGAGGUGUAGGGAGUAACGCCCUUGUGCUGUUUGGACUUAAUUGGGCCCUAAGUUAUUUCUUUAAUUGGGCAGAUUUGCUAGA
rnacentral:lncRNA from 1 species